rnacentral:rRNA from 1 species
UACGGGGGGGGCAAGCGUUGUUCGGAAUUACUGGGCGUAAAGGGCUCGUAGGCGGCCAACUAAGUCGGGUGUGAAAUCCCCGGGCUCAACCUGGGAACUGCAUCCGAGACUGCAUUGCUAGAGUAUGGGAGAGGGAAGCGGAAUUUCUGGUGUAGCAGUGAAAUGCGUAGAUAUCAGAAGGAACAUCAGUGGCGAAGGCGGCUUCCUGGACCAAUACUGACGAUCAGGUGCGAAAGCGUGGGGAGCAAACAGG